rnacentral:misc_RNA from 1 species
AUGGAUGCGGCUGAUGUGGACAAUAGUGGAACUAUUGACUAUGGAGAAUUCAUUGCGGCAACUGUUCAUCUUAAUAAAUUGGAGCGCGAGGAACAUCUCAUGGCAGCAUUUCAAUAUUUUGACAAGGAUGGAAGUGGUUACAUAACAGUUGAUGAGGUCCAGCAAGCUUGUAUAGAGCAUAACAUGACAGAUGUUUACUUUGAGGAUAUUAUAAGAGAAGUCGAUCAGGAUAAUGAUGGACGAAUUGAUUAUGGAGAAUUU